rnacentral:rRNA from 1 species
GAUGAACGCUGGCGGCGUGCCUAAUACAUGCAAGUCGAGCGAACGGACGAGAAGCUUGCUUCUCUGAUGUUAGCGGCGGACGGGUGAGUAACACGUGGAUAACCUACCUAUAAGACUGGGAUAACUUCGGGAAACCGGAGCUAAUACCGGAUAAUAUUUUGAACCGCAUGGUUCAAAAGUGAAAGACGGUCUUGCUGUCACUUAUAGAUGGAUCCGCGCUGCAUUAGCUAGUUGGUAAGGUAACGGCUUACCAAGGCAACGAUGCAUAGCCGACCUGAGAGGGUGAUCGGCCACACUGGAGCUGAGACACGGUCCAGACUCCUACGGGAGGCAGCAGUAGGGAAUCUUCCGCAGUGGGCGAAAGCCUGACGGAGCAACGCCGCGUGAGUGAUGAAGGUCUUCGGAUCGUAAAACUCUGUUAUUAGGGAAGAACAUAUGUGUAAGUAACUGUGCACAUCUUGACGGUACCUAAUCAGAAAGCCACGGCUAACUACGUG